UACGGAGGGGGCUAGCGUUGUUCGGAAUUACUGGGCGUAAAGGGCUCGUAGGCGGCCAACUAAGUCGGACGUGAAAUCCCCAGGCUCAACCUGGGAACUGCGUCCGAUACUGGAUGGCUUGAAUUCGGGAGAGGGAUGCAGAAUUCCAGGUGUAGCGGUGAAAUGCGUAGAUAUCUGGAGGAAUACCGGUGGCGAAGGCGGUGGUCUGGGCCUGAACUGACGCUGAGGAGCGAAAGCCAGGGGAGCAAACGGG
rnacentral:rRNA from 1 species